rnacentral:rRNA from 1 species
AGCGAACGCUGGCGGCAGGCCUAACACAUGCAAGUCGAGCGGCCCUUCGGGGCAGCGGCGGACGGGUGAGUAACGCGUGGGAACGUGCCCUUUGGUACGGAACAACUGAGGGAAACUUCAGCUAAUACCGUAUGUGCCCUACGGGGGAAAGAUUUAUCGCCAUUGGAGCGGCCCGCGUUAGAUUAGCUAGUUGGUAGGGUAAUGGCCUACCAAGGCGACGAUCUAUAGGUGGUCUGAGAGGAUGAUCAGCCACACUGGGACUGAGACACGGCCCAGACUCCUACGGGAGGCAGCAGUGGGGAAUCUUGCGCAAUGGGCGAAAGCCUGACGCAGCCAUGCCGCGUGAAUGAUGAAGGUCUUAGGAUUGUAAAAUUCUUUCACCGGGGACGAUAAUGACGGUACCCGGAGAAGAAGCCCCGGCUAACUUCGUGCCAGCCGCCGCGGUAAAAC